AUUUUAAUCUGCUCUGUUGUUUCUACUUCUCUUUUAGUUUGAAAAAGAAGUCUCAGUUCAGAAGCAAGAUUAUGCAGUGGGAAGCACUUCAGAAAAGUUGCUGCCAAGAUUCUGAUUUAAUUAAUUAUUAUGCAUUAAAUAUCAAAUUAAACAGAAAUUGGAACCCUGGAAAGCAAAGCACCAUUUUCCAAAUAUAAUGUUUCUUUCCAGAGCUGACUCAGUUCCACAAGGUUAGGAAUAACACAAUUGCUUCAGAGAAGAAGUAAGAUAGCGUGAUGGGACAGGUCUCAGAAGGCCAUAAUGAAAGAUGGAGAUUCAGUGCUUGAAUGCAACACAUUAAUUUAUGACCACAUCAGCUGAAGGAAAUUAAAAGAAAGCUUAAAGAUUGAUUAGAAGAGCCCUAAUUAAAAACUUCAAGGAUCAUUACAUUAUUUGGUUGACAUAGCGAAGAUUUUACUUUGGAGAGCUUUCACUUUCUAAAAUCAGAACAAACAGAUCAAAAUGGAAAAGAACUUGAAUUCUUUUUUUUACAAACUAUGCAUUGGCUAGCAGAUAUUAUGAGUAACAUCCUAUACAUAACAGCCUGGCCUGAUCUUAAUUCAGAAGGAAGCUGAAUAUAUUUUCAGAUAAGUUUUCAAAAGAACUUUGUAUGGAUAAAUUAGUGGUCUUUUUUUUUUCAUUUCAUUGUAAGUAAUAUAACUUAUUUUUCUUUUGUCUCUUUGAAGCCUGGUGAUUGCUUGCAAUAGUACCUGCAAUUUUAAUGGCAAGGUUAUUUGGAAGUAGUGUUCCCUUGACUCCUUCCUUGGGCUGAGAAUAAGUGACCCAAGAUUGCCCUCCUGGUUUUAUGAAUGAAGCAGGACUAGACUAAACAGACUCUCACUUUCUGGCCUGAUGUUUUAAUCACUACACUUCUAAAACUAACUUCUGUCACCCUAAAUUAACCAGAAUGGCCCUAUUGAACAUUCGUGCCCCUAAUGUCCCAAUGAAUGAACAAAUCCCUUUCCAGGAACCCAUAGUACUGUAAUUGCUUUGUAACAAAACUACUAUUAAAAUUUGCUGGAGAAGAAAUCAUCUAGCUGAAGAGCAGAUAAACUUUUGGGCAAACAUUUAAUUUUGGUGAUGGGAACAGAGGGCUGAUCCACAAACCACAGUAGGAAUGGCAAUAACAUGAUUUUAAUGCUACCAAAUGUAUCCAAAUUUUCAAUAUGAAAUUAAAAGUAAGAUUGUAAAUGUGAAAGGCGGGCUCCUUUAAGAUCUUAAGUAUUCUCUCUUUCUGUUGGAGCAUAAAGAAUCUUCCAUGAGUUAACCAUAGCAUAAUCAAAUUCUGAAAGUAUUAAUAUGUUGUUACAUUUUAAAGUUGUUAAACAAUAUACAGCUCUGCAAUUUACAAUCCAGUCAAUCAAUAGAAAAAAAAUGAAAGGAUACUAAUUUUAUAAGAUUUUUUUUAAAGCACAAUAUAGGGAAUAUAAAACCCUACAUUAUUCAAUAUUGAAUACAGCUUUUUGAUAUGCUACACAAACACCAGAAUUUGAUUUAUAUAAUACUUCUAUAAGUCCCAGAGCUAUUGUUCAAUAACAUCAGUUGCUUAAUGCUAGCAGAAUAUGUAAAGAAACAUAUUAUGAAUGACCAAAAGCUCUAGGGAAUUUGCUACCCUAAUAAAAUCUUCAGCACUAUAGUAAAGACACCAUAUCAAUGUUACUCCCAGCAGAAGCUCGACCUUGGGAGAAAAGAAGAUUGUGCAUGUAGACUCCUAAUCAAAGCUUUCUCCAACUAUCCGACAUUUAAAUAGAACAUCUUUAGAGAAAUCUACUUGUAUUUGUUUAGAUUGAAAUGCAUUUGUCAGUGCAAUUUUAGAUUCCUACUUUAUUAAGGUCUGAGGUGAAGUAAAGACCUGUUCUGGUGUUUAUGCAAACCAUGAAAACAUUUCUCCUUUGAAAUACUACUUUGAAUAAGUGGAGAGAAGUAAAACUGGGAUUGUAUGCGCAUUUCCAUUCUCUUCCAUUCUGAGCUCCACUGCAUUCAGAUAUACUCUUAUUUUCUUGAACAUUGUGCCUUCCAGAUGUUUGGGAUCACCACCACAAUCACAGAACUAGCCAGCAUGCUAUAGAAGCCAAAUGCCAUAAGUGAAAUUUUGAUCUGAUAUGGAGAAGACCUGGUUGGAUAUAGGAAGGAUUGGGUUUUUUUCCCUUUUCAUUAAACAUAGGAGGGUUAAGCUGUAUUCAGAGUAGUAUUCAGACAGGGAAAACAUACACUUCACUGGCAGUUCAUUUUCUCAUCAUAGUCUAGCUAUCAAAGUUCUCUUACUGCUGUAACAAGGCAAGCUAAAUGAAUAAUUACUGCUAUAAGAGCUGACUACUUAAAGCAUGAAGUGCAGUCAUCUGUGAUAAGUUGAAAAGAACCAUUCAUUGUCUGUAAUUUUAUGGAAUGAAAAGAAGUGUUUCCCUUUGUUAUCAGAUAAAAUUUAACUGCUUUGGUCCAAUUUUGCAUAUUUUCAUAUAUAUUUUUCUUCCAUGGGUCAUCUUCAAAAACUGUUUGAAGAUUUCUUCAUUGCUACGGUCAUCAAAACACUGAGGGGGAACAUUAUGUAAUCAUUAUUUAAAGAAACAGAAAAUGAAUUGCUUGCCUUCCCCUUUCUUUAUCUGUCUUGUAGUAUGCAAAACAAAAAGUUCCAUUAGGAAAUGUACUCAACCUUCCUUAACUUGCAGAACUACAAAAUCAGGCAGCAAAAAGGGGCAAAAUGAAUGCAACUGGGGGAACACAGCAUUUCAGAGCAGGAUUUGUUUUUCUCUGGUUUUUGGCUUGCCACCGAAGAAGUGUCCAAGCUAAAUCAGCUCAGCUGCCAAACAUAGAUGAUCACAUGAGAUUACAUAGAGCAGAGAUUUUAAAAGCAGCUUUGGAAAAUGCUUAGAAUUGGAUAUUUUAAUGUAAAGAAAAAAUGCUAUCUUUGCACAAAGUGUAUGAAAGGGUAUUUAUUUGGAAAAUCUGAGAGAAAAGCAGAAGUCACUAAUUUUUCAUCCUAAGCCAAAAGCUUCUUUAUGAUCAAAGAAUGGUUAUGUUCACAAUUAAUGCUAAAAUUUUAUGAGAGAGUUCACAUAAUACAUGGAAUUUGAAUUAACUACAUUUUGACUUUACACUUUAUAUGAAUCCAACCUAUUUUUUCAAGAUACGUCACAUACUUAUGUUUGCAAGGAGGCUUUUGUUAUAUAAAAAAUGAAGAAACUUUAUUUUCUAAUAUCUAUAUUACCACUUAUUAAUAAACCUGUUAUAUUAUCAUCUAA